rnacentral:rRNA from 1 species
AAGCGAGAUCGAGAGAUGGAGCAAAUCCCAAAAAUAAACGUCCCAGUUCGGACUGUAGUCUGCAACCCGACUACACGAAGCUGGAAUCGCUAGUAAUCGCGGAUCAGAAUGCCGCGGUGAAUACGUUCCCGGGCCUUGUACACACCGCCCGUCAAGCCAUGGGAGUUGGGGGUGCCUGAAGUUCGUGACCGAAAGGAGCGACCUAGGGCAAAACCGAUGACUGGGGCUAAGUCGUAACAAGGUAGC